AUUGAACGCUGGCGGCAGGCCUAACACAUGCAAGUCGAGCGCGCGGCGGACGGGUGAGUAAUGUCUGGGAAACUGCCUGAUUUAGGGGGAUAACUACUGGAAACGGUAUCUAAUACCGCAUCCCAUCAGAUGUGCCCAGAUGUGAUUAGCUAGUAGGUGGGGUAACGGGUCACCUAGUCGACGAUCCCUAGCUGGUCUGAGCGGAUGACCAGAGACCAUGGGACUGAGAGACGGUCCAGACUCCUACGGGAGGAAGCAGUGGGGAAGUUUGGACAAUGGGCGAAAGCCUGAUGCAGCCAUGCCGGGUGUGUGAAGAAGGACUUGGGGUUGUAAAGAACUUUCAGCGGUGAGGCGUUACCUGCAGAAGAAGCACCGGCUAACUCCGUGCCAGCAGCCGCGGUAAUAC
rnacentral:rRNA from 1 species